GCCUACGGCCAUACCACCCUGAGAACGCCCGAUCUCAUCUGAUCUCGGAAGCUAAGCAGGGUCGGGCCCAGUUAGUACUUGGAUGGGAGACCGCUUGGGAAUACCGGGUGCUGUAGGCU
rnacentral:rRNA from 1 species